CCACCUGUACGUUCUCCUCUGUUCUUGCUUCCAGCUUUUCUACAAAGAUGUUGCAACUUCUAUUUCCUCUGCAUUCCUUUCUCUGCUGCUCUUCCACCACAUUUUAUACAUACAUGUGUAACCAUUUGCUGUUUACAUUAAUAAAAAAAAGAAGAAGAAACUUAAAAGAAUGCGCUAUUAAUUCGAAGUCGUAAAUUAGAGGCUACGAAUGCUAUAGUUAAAACUGCCAAAAAAUAAAGCUCCGUAAAUCGUCAGGAGAUGUAAUGCUUUUAUGUUGGUUGCUAUAAACCGAGAAACUAAUGCUAAUUAUGUUGGCAAAAAACGUUGUAAAGAAACGAAAAAAAAAAAAAAAACCACAUAAAAAAUGAAAAAUUCUAUCCUUAAAAACUUUGCUAUAAUAAAAGGUAUAUAUUUCCUACUGCAUCCUUUGCCUCAUUUUGAUCUCACCUGUAGCGAUGGCAGAACCGGUUGUCACCGAUAUUACCUUUCGCAGACUGCUACGCAGCAUAUGCACGAAGUUCUCUUUGCCUCCAGCGAGGUAUGGAGUGAGUUUGGAUGCCACAGGUUGCUUUUCGAGCUUAUGUGGACGUUGCAGUACCUAGGGUUGGC
rnacentral:lncRNA from 1 species